rnacentral:rRNA from 1 species
CGGUAAUACGGAGGAGGCAAGCGUUAUCCGGAAUUAUUGGGCGUAAAGCGUUCGUAGGCGGCAUUUCAAGUCUGCUGUCAAAGGCCGAGGCUCAACUUCGGAAAGGCAGUGGAAACUGAAAAGCUAGAGGUCGGUAGGGGCAGAGGGAAUUCCCAGUGUAGCGGUGAAAUGCGUAGAUAUUGGGAAGAACACCGGUGGCGAAAGCGCUCUGCUGGGCCGAACCUGACGCUGAGGGACGAAAGCUAGGGGAGCGAAUGGGAUUAGAUACCCCCUGUAGUCA